rnacentral:tRNA from 1 species
GGGCCCGUAGCUCAACUGGAUAGAGCAUCGACCUUCUAAGUCGGCGGUUGCAGGUUCGAUUCCUGCCGGGCUCGCCA